CUUAAAUUGAAGAGUUUGAUCAUGGCUCAGAUUGAACGCUGGCGGCAGGCCUAACACAUGCAAGUCGAGCGGAAACGAGUUAUCAGAACCUUCGGGGAACGA
rnacentral:rRNA from 1 species